UCUCUGUUCGUAUAGUGGUUAGUAUGUGAGCUUGUCAUUCCAGACAUCGCUCGAGACCGGGGUUCAAUUCCCCGACAGAGAG
rnacentral:tRNA from 1 species